UCUUACUUUACACUUUUGAGACUCAAAUUCCUGAGUUCAGUUACAAACUUGUGAGCAUUGUUACUCUCAUUCUAAUCUGCAGAAUACUCUUACUUUUCCUUGAGAUCACCAUGAACAAAGUGGGUGAAGCUUUUCUGUCUGGUUUCAUCACUGUUCUCCUGGAGAGGUUCAUUUCAGCUGAGACUUACAACUUGGUGGUGGGGAAGAAGCUUGGUCCUGAGUUGGUGAGAAGGCUGAAGACUGCUCUCUUGGCUGCUGAAGCUCUGGUUGCUGACGCUGAGCAGAAGCAGUUUGGUAACCAAUUGGUGAGGAAGUGGCUGGAUGAUCUGAGAGAUGCUGUCUACAAGGCUGAUGACUUGCUGGACCGUUUCUGCAUCAAAGCUUCAACUCAGAAGCAGGUACCAACUUUCUUGCCUAGCUUCCUCAAUUUUGAAGAAAGGCAGAUGGUCAACGAGAUAGAAGAAGUGGUCAGAACUAUUGAAGAUCUUGAGAGAUGCAAAGAAAGCCUUGGCCUUGAAAAGAUUCCCACUGGUAGCUCCUCAUGGAGAGUUCCAUCCACUUCUCUUGCAAGAGGGAAUGUGUAUGGCAGGGAGGAUGAUCAGAAGGCCUUAGUCCAGAUGCUGAAUGACAACAAUGAGCAUCACCUCUCUGUGAUCUCUAUUGUUGGCAUUGGUGGGGUUGGUAAAACAACUUUAGCCCAAUGGCUGUACAACAAUGAAGAGGAGUUCAUGAAGGGAUUUGAUCUGAAGGCAUGGGUUUGUGUUUCAGAAAAUUUUGAUAUUGUUGAGAUUACAAGGAAUGUCAUGAAGGGGAUCCUUGGAGGUACUUGUAGUCUCGACGAUUUCAAUUCACUUCAACAUGCUUUGAAAGAAGAAUUGUUGAAUAAGAAGUUCUUUAUUGUUCUUGAUGAUGUUUGGAGUAAUGAUCAACAUCAAUGGAGAAAUUUUAUAACGCCUUUUCAAUACGGGGCUAAGGGAAGUAUUAUUCUUCUAACUACUCGCAAGGAAAAUGUUGGUUUAGUUGCUCAAACAAAUUAUCAACCUCUCAUCCUCAACACGUUGUCAGAAGAUCAAUGUUGGUCGGUGUUUGCAUCCAGUGCAUCUUUUCCAGAAUCAAAUGGGAGCCCGGCACUGGAAGAAAUAGGCAAAAAGAUAGCUAAGAAGUGUGAUGGUCUGCCACUAGCAGCAGAAACACUUGGUUGCUUGUGCAGAAACCAUGACGCUGAGGAGUGGGGGGAAAUAUUAAAGAGUGAUAUUUGGGAGUUUUCUACGAAUGACAGUAAGAUAAUCCCAGCAUUAUUAAUAAGCUACUUUCAUCUACCUCCAUAUUUGAAACGUUGUUUUGUUUAUUGUUCAUUGUUUCCCAAAGAUUAUAAAUUUGAGAAAGAUGAAUUAAUCUUGUUGUGGAUGGCAGAAGAUCUAUUACGGGUAUCAAAUAGAAGAGAGACUUUAGAAGAAGUUGGUAGCAAAUAUUUUGACGAUUUAGCUUCUAGAUUAUUUUUUAAAGAGCAUCAAGAUAAUGAUGACUGUUUUGUGAUGCAUGAUCUCUUACAUGACUUGGCAAUAUUCCUUGCUGGAGAUUUCUACUGUAGAUUAGAAGAACUUGGUGACAAAGAGGAGUUGGGGAGUCUGACUCGUCAUUUGUCAUUUGGAAAAUUGAAUCGUGCAGUCUCAAAAAAUUUGAAUUCCAUUGCUACAUUGGAAUCUUUGAGGACAUCCUUGUAUGUCAACGAUUUAUUUAGCAUGGAAAGCGUAGCAUCAAAGUUUAAAUACUUGAGAGUUUUAUCCUUUGAUGAACUUGAUGUGGUGCCUAAUUCAAUAGGAGAAUUGAUCCAUCUGCGCUACUUGGACCUCUCUUGGACUGAUAUUAAGACAUUGCCAGAGUCUUUGUGUAGCUUGUCUAAUUUGCAAACACUGAAAUUGUAUUAUUGUUAUCAGCUAACUACGCUGCCUAGUGGUUUGCAUAAUCUUGUGGGUUUGCGGCAUCUUGAUAUUAGAGGAACUUCUUUGGAAGAAAUGCCCGGAAAAAUGAGCAAAUUGAAUCAAUUGCUUGUUUUAAGUUACUUUGUUGUUGGCAAGCACGAAGACAAUGGAAUCCAGGAGUUAGGAGGGCUGGUAAAUCUUCAUGGAUCCGUUGAGAUUAAGAAGUUGGAGAAUAUUGUUGAUGUGAAUGAAGCAAAGAGGGCAAAGAUAGUGGCUAAGAAGCACAUUGAUGAAUUAUCCUUGAAAUGGUGUUCAGGUGAUGAUAUGGUUUCAAGCACACAGAAAGAAAGAGACAUUCUCGAUAACUUGAAACCGCAGAGUGGGAUGAAAGAGUUGAAAAUCGAGGGAUACAAGGGUACAAUAUUUCCAGAUUGGUUGGGGAACUGUUCCUACGAAAACAUGACACGUGUAUCUCUAAAGUCUUGUAAGAAUUGCUGCAUGCUGCCUUCACUUGGACAGCUGCCAUCUCUUAAGUCCCUGCGCAUUGAAGGUUUCGAUCAGCUGAGGAGUAUUGGGGAGGAGUUUUACAAGAAUGAAGGAGAUCAUCAUUCUUCGCAUAUUGCACCAUUUCCCUCACUGGAGAGUUUGAAAUUUAGGGAUAUGGCAUGUUGGGAGGAGUGGCACUUACCUGACUCAAAAGCUUUUCCUCAACUUAGGAAGCUUAAAAUAAGAAAUUGUGGAAUGUUGAAGGAAGAGACGCUUAAUCAGGUAUUCUUCAGAAUCGUUUCUUCUUUGUCGGAUGUUUCCAAAGUUCACAAAGUACUUAUAGGCGACCACUAUAUAAGACCGCACACCGAGACCAUGUAUGUUGAUGGGGAUACUUUAUCAAUUAGGGGAAGUGAAUCUGUGAUGGAGUCUGCAUUGAAGGCAAUGAUCAGCAUCAACCAUCGAAGUUGCUUCCAAGAAACACACAUCUUGAGGUGUAGAAAACUAGAAUUCCUGCAGCUACAGCAGCACAAGUAUGAUUUGGUAGAGCUACAAAUAGAAGAGAGCUGUGAUUCACUGACCUCCUUGUCGUUGGAUGUCUUUCCCAAUCUCAAGAAUCUCAAGAUAAAAGGGUGUAGGAAUCUGGAAUCAGUGUCAAUGUCAGAGGCACCACACGCUGCUCUUAAAGAAGUGACCAUCAUUGAGUGCUCCAAAUUAGUGUCAUUAGCAGGAGAAGGACUGGCUGCACCCAACUUGACUCAUCUUCACUUCAGCUUCUGCUCAGAGUUGGAGGCAUUACCACGUGACAUGAAGAGUCUACUCCCAAGUUUACACUCUCUCCAGAUAUAUGGUUGCCCAAACAUUUGCAGGUUGCCAGAGGGUGGUUUGCCGCCUAACUUGAAAGAGCUUCAUGUGCAAAUUGGUGAGCAACAAAUGAGGGAUCUAUCCUGGAUGUCCAACUUGCACGCCCUCACCUAUCUCAAAUUUUAUGGUUAUUACUGCGACAACAUAAAGUCAUACCCAGAGGUGGGUUCGCUGCCUCACCUUCCCUCCCUUACCACUCUCCAGAUAAUAGGGUUCUAUAAUCUGGAGACAUUGGAGUGCAACGAGCUUCUCCGCCUCACCUCCCUUCAACAACUACACAUUUAUUGGUGUCAAAAGCUGGAGAAUAUGGAAGGAGAAAAGCUGCCUCCCUCUCUCUUGCUACUUCAAAUUGAUCAUUGUGGUUUGCUGGGAAAACACUGCAAGAACAAGCAUCAACUAAUCUGGCCCAAAAUUUCCCACAUUCCCACCAUUCAAGUCAAUUUCAAACAAGUAUUCUGAAUAGAGAUUUCUGAGAAGUUAGAUGGUAAUGAAGUAAAAGUGCCCAAUGGUGGAGAUUUCAUCUUAUACAAUAUUUUAGCUUCAGGUAAAAGUUCACUGAUGUUAGAGAUUUCAUUGCACAUGUAUAUCUAUAUAUAUGGAGAUGUGAACUGGAUUAAUGUGUUGGGAAGCAGUAGUGUUUUCUGAUUUAGUGAUUUCAGCUUUCAUUUUAAUUGGUAUCUACACUAGUUUAAAUUAAUGACUGAUGUGUAUCCACACUACAUGUGGAGUUGCUUGGAUUAUUCAAUUCAGUGCUUUGCUUCAAAGAUAGGAACCAUAGAUGGUUGUUUGGUUAUCAAUAGUAGUCAUGUUUGAACUAACUUGAAUUGUAGCCUUUUUUUUUUUUUUUGUUAAAUUUAUAAUUCAAAGGCAUGAUGAUGAUUAACAUCAUUAUUGAACCUAGGCUACAGUAGUGUUACUUAUAUGUUAAAGCUAUGAUAAUCUACAUCUUACCAAGCAUGAAACAGUUAAUUUAAUUAACUUCUAAUCAAAGGUGCAACAGCUUUCAUUGUUAACUAGUUGAACUAUGCCGCCUGGAAAUUUGCAUUCUUUUCUUCCAUUUAUUAGGGAAGCUCUCAGCUUGCAGUUGUAGUUCAAGAAAUAUCUUUUGUUUCUUUGACAAAGUCAUUGGCUCAUUGCUAUCUGUAAUACUUAUUAACCUUCAUAUUUUUCAGUAAAAUCACCUUUACAAAGAAGAUAAGAAUUAACAUGAAACAAAAAUUGAAAGACAGUGAAUAUCUUUUUUGUGUAUCCAACAUUUAAGAAUUUGUUUAGCUGUAUUAAACAAAGAGUUUGAUUUACAUGGUCAUCCAAUUAGAUUCAUGCGUUUAGAUGACUUUUGAAGUACUGAGUUUGAAAAUUAGUUACCAGAAGCUGUGUUUACUGAGUUUGGCUUCAUGUUAGUAUCUACACUAGAAUGAACAAGAUAGAAAAGGAAGACAUGAUGGACAAAGUUGGAGUGGCACUUCUUAGUGAAAAGCUUCUGAAUUUGUUGACAGAUUCACAAGGUGAUGAAGGUAUGUAGCUAAUGCACACAUGAUUCAAGAAUAUGCUUUCCACAUUUAAAGAUCACAAUCCUUUACCUGAGAUAGUCAUUAGAAGGUGAAGGAGUUGUGAAGAAUGUCAUGAGCUGCAGAAAAUGGUGUUAUUAUUUUGAUUGUUAAAGCUUAGAUUUAAAAGUGAAAAUAAUGCAUCAACUAUUCUACAGUGAACUAUGUUAAAGCAUUUGUUGUGAGUUAUAAAUUUCAACUCAAACAAAAUUUCCAGGGGUCUGUCUGUGGAGAUUACCACUAUGGUCAAGGAUCUGCUUUCAAUAUAUGCAGCUGUGUUCAUGAACCAAUGGAAUGUGCAUUGGGCAGCCUCUUUGGCAAAUGCAUGUUGAUGAGCGUAUAAGUAACUGCAUACAAUUUUUUCUGUCUUUUGACAUUAUGUCAGCCUCAAUUUUCACUGCAACAUUGUUAUUUUAAUGUCCAAUUUCCUCAAACUGAUUUUGUCUCUUUGAACAUGAGAUAGUAGAAAGGAAGAUUGGUUGUGCUGUACUUCCAUUUAUUAGAUUUUUCAUAUUCUCUUGUAAUGAUCAUAGAGAUUCUGGUAAUCUGGUCAUUUUCUUAACAUCAAUGUAUUAACCUAAUCAGAUUGGGAUUAACUUGAGUGGACACAAGCAGUUGAGCAAAUAGAAGAAAAGUUGAGAGGAGGUGCUAUUUUCACCCUAGCAGGUUUUUCUAGCAGCAACUUAUUUUCAUCAAGUGAACGAUCACAUGGGAAAACAUUGUGAUAUUGAGCUGAAAUUUUAACUGGAGAUUCUUCACAAACAAUUCUUCAAUUUGGAGGUGUGAUUUGUAGUCUGAACUCUAUAGUAGAACUGCCGGAAAGUUUCAUUAAUUUAAUCUUGUGGGAGACUAUUUGGUUUUGCAGAAGAGUUGUGCAUGUGUGGCCAGUGCUUGCAAGUUCUAAGACUUCUUUAUUUUGUUCCUUUGAUUCAAAUGAAUAAUGAAGCUUUUUACCUUCUCCUG